GGCUCCAUAGUUCAAGGGAUAGAAUAGAAGUUUCCUAAACUUUAGAUCCAGGUUCGAGUCCUGGUGGGGCUACUA
rnacentral:tRNA from 1 species